CAGUAGCCACGGUAAUACGUAGGGCGCAAGCGUUAUUCGGAAUUACUGGGCGUAAAGCGUGCGCAGGCGGUUGUGUAAGACAGGUGUGAAAUCCCCGGGCUUAACCUGGGAACUGCGCUUGUGACUGCACAGCUAGAGUAUGGCAGAGGGGGGUGGAAUUCCACGUGUAGCAGUGAAAUGCGUAGAGAUCGGGAGGAACAUCAGUGGCGAAGGCGGCCAUCUGGGACAACACUGACGCUGAGGCACGAAAGCGUGGGGAGCAGACAGGAUUAGAUACCCCAGUAGUCCCUGUCUCUUAUAC
rnacentral:rRNA from 1 species